CUGGAAAGGCGCGCGAUACAGGGUGACAGCCCCGUACACAAAAGCGCAUGUGCUGUGAGCUCGAUGAGUAGGGCGGGACACGUGGUAUCCUGUCUGAAUAUGGGGGGACCAUCCUCCAAGGCUAAAUACUCCUGACUGACCGAUAGUGAACCAGUACCGUGAGGGAAAGGCGAAAAGAACCCCGGCGAGGGGAGUGAAAAAGAACCUGAAACCGUGUACGUACAAGCAGUGGGAGCACAGGUUUACCUGUGUGACUGCGUACCUUUUGUAUAAUGGGUCAGCGACUUAUAUUCUGUAGCAAGGUUAACCGUAUAGGGGAGCCGUAGGGAAACCGAGUCUUAACCGGGCGUUAAGUUGCAGGGUAUAGACCCGAAACCCGGUGAUCUAGCCAUGGGCAGGUUGAAGGUUGGGUAACACUAACUGGAGGACCGAACCGACUAAUGUUGAAAAAUUAGCGGAUGACCUGUGGCUGGGGGUGAAAGGCCAAUCAAACCGGGAGAUAGCUGGUUCUCCCCGAAAGCUAUUUAGGUAGCGCCUCGUGAAUUCAUCUCCGGGGGUAGAGCACUGUUUCGGCUAGGGGGCCAUCCCGGCUUACCAACCCGAUGCAAACUGCGAAUACCGGAGAAUGUUAUCACGGGAGACACACGGCGGGUGCUAACGUCCGUCGUGAAGAGGGAAACAACCCAGACCGCCAGCUAAGGUCCCAAAGUCAUGGUUAAGUGGGAAACGAUGUGGGAAGGCCCAGACAGCCAGGAUGUUGGCUUAGAAGCAGCCAUCAUUUAAAGAAAGCGUAAUAGCUCACUGGUCGAGUCGGCCUGCGCGGAAGAUGUAACGGGGCUAAACCAUGCACCGAAGCUGCGGCAGCGACGCUGAUGCGUUGUUGGGUAGGGGAGCGUUCUGUAAGCCUGUGAAGGUGGCCUGUGAGGGUUGCUGGAGGUAUCAGAAGUGCGAAUGCUGACAUAAGUAACGAUAAAGCGGGUGAAAAGCCCGCUCGCCGGAAGACCAAGGGUUCCUGUCCAACGUUAAUCGGGGCAGGGUGAGUCGACCCCUAAGGCGAGGCCGAAAGGCGUAGUCGAUGGGAAACGGGUUAAUAUUCCCGUACUUGGUGUUACUGCGAAGGGGGGACGGAGAAGGCUAUGUUGGCCGGGCGACGGUUGUCCCGGUUUAAGCGUGUAGGUGUGUGUUCCAGGUAAAUCCGGUUCACUUUAACACUGAGGCGUGAUGACGAGGCACUACGGUGCUGAAGCAACAAAUGCCCUGCUUCCAGGAAAAGUCUCUAAGCAUCAGGUAACAUCAAAUCGUACCCCAAACCGACACAGGUGGUCAGGUAGAGAAUACCAAGGCGCUUGAGAGAACUCGGGUGAAGGAACUAGGCAAAAUGGUGCCGUAACUUCGGGAGAAGGCACGCUGACACGUAGGUGAAGUGAUUUACUCAUGGAGCUGAAGUCAGUCGAAGAUACCAGCUGGCUGCAACUGUUUAUUAAAAACACAGCACUGUGCAAACACGAAAGUGGACGUAUACGGUGUGACGCCUGCCCGGUGCCGGAAGGUUAAUUGAUGGGGUCAGCGCAAGCGAAGCUCCUGAUCGAAGCCCCGGUAAACGGCGGCCGUAACUAUAACGGUCCUAAGGUAGCGAAAUUCCUUGUCGGGUAAGUUCCGACCUGCACGAAUGGCGUAAUGAUGGCCAGGCUGUCUCCACCCGAGACUCAGUGAAAUUGAACUCGCUGUGAAGAUGCAGUGUACCCGCGGCAAGACGGAAAGACCCCGUGAACCUUUACUAUAGCUUGACACUGAACAUUGAGCCUUGAUGUGUAGGAUAGGUGGGAGGCUUUGAAGCGUGGACGCCAGUCUGCAUGGAGCCGGCCUUGAAAUACCACCCUUUAAUGUUUGAUGUUCUAACGUGGACCCGUGAUCCGGGUUGCGGACAGUGUCUGGUGGGUAGUUUGACUGGGGCGGUCUCCUCCUAAAGAGUAACGGAGGAGCACGAAGGUUGGCUAAUCCUGGUCGGACAUCAGGAGGUUAGUGCAAUGGCAUAAGCCAGCUUGACUGCGAGCGUGACGGCGCGAGCAGGUGCGAAAGCAGGUCAUAGUGAUCCGGUGGUUCUGAAUGGAAGGGCCAUCGCUCAACGGAUAAAAGGUACUCCGGGGAUAACAGGCUGAUACCGCCCAAGAGUUCAUAUCGACGGCGGUGUUUGGCACCUCGAUGUCGGCUCAUCACAUCCUGGGGCUGAAGUAGGUCCCAAGGGUAUGGCUGUUCGCCAUUUAAAGUGGUACGCGAGCUGGGUUUAGAACGUCGUGAGACAGUUCGGUCCCUAUCUGCCGUGGGCGCUGGAGAACUGAGGGGGGCUGCUCCUAGUACGAGAGGACCGGAGUGGACGCAUCACUGGUGUUCGGGUUGUCAUGCCAAUGGCACUGCCCGGUAGCUAAAUGCGGAAGAGAUAAGUGCUGAAAGCAUCUAAGCACGAAACUUGCCCCGAGAUGAGUUCUCCCUGAGACUUAGAGUCUCCUGAAGGAACGUUGAAGACGACGACGUUGAUAGGCCGGGUGUGUAAGCGCAGCGAUGCGUUGAGCUAACCGGUACUAAUGAACCGUGAGGCUUAACCUUACAACGCCGAAG
rnacentral:rRNA from 1 species